CAGGCCUAACACAUGCAAGUCGAACGAAGGCUUUGGCCUUAGUGGCGCACGGGUGCGUAACGCGUGGGAAUCUGCCCUUGGGUUCGGAAUAACAGCGAGAAAUUGCUGCUAAUACCGGAUGAUGACGUAAGUCCAAAGAUUUAUCGCCCAAGGAUGAGCCCGCGUAGGAUUAGCUAGUUGGUGGGGUAAAGGCCUACCAAGGCGACGAUCCUUAGCUGGUCUGAGAGGAUGAUCAGCCACACUGGGACUGAGACACGGCCCAGACUCCUACGGGAGGCAGCAGUGGGGAAUAUUGGACAAUGGGCGAAAGCCUGAUCCAGCAAUGCCGCGUGAGUGAUGAAGGCCUUAGGGUUGUAAAGCUCUUUUACCCGGGAAGAUAAUGACUGUACCGGGAGAAUAAGCCCCGGCUAACUCCGUGCCAGCAGCCGCGGUAAU
rnacentral:rRNA from 1 species